UAAUACGCGAUGAGAUCCAGCUUUAUGCGGUGACCACCGAUGGUGGGGCAUUCGAAGGUGAGCUCAGCGUCCUCGAGUCCUUCGCUGAAGCAACGGGUGGAGAUGUUUUCCAGGGCUUGUCGACAGCGGCGAUGGAAAGCGCCUUCAGCCGCAUCACCGAACAGGCUCGCAAUCAGUAUGUGCUGGGAUACCAGUCCACCAACCGCGUUGGAAUCGCUCGUCCGGUAUACCGCAAGAUUGAAGUGACAACUUCCAAUCCGAAGUGGGAAGUCAGCCACAGAAAAGGGCUACUACCAGGCUCCAUAACUGUUAAAUCGUGCCGCGGGCUAAAGCCGCGCGGCCUACAAGGCGAGUCUUACGUUCAUGAAAAUCCAGACGCCGUAGAACCAGUUGUAGGCCGCGUGGCUUUAGCCCGCGGCACGAUUUUGCAGGGCUCCAUAACCCACGUCUCGUGUGUUAGCCUCUAUCGCUUGUAGCAGGAACUCAAUGCGGUAUGGCGGGCAGGAAACUGACUAACCUUCUCGAAAUGGAGAUGCUGGCGCACGCUCUGCGGAGCGUGAGCGAAUGCGUGGUCGUUACCGACAUGGCGGACACGAUCAUCUUCGUUAACGAUGCAUUUCUCACCACCUACGGCUACACUGCCGACGAACUCAUUGGCACGAAUAUCGACAUCGUUCGCUCCAGCAGCAACCCGACAAGCGUUACCGACAAGAUCCUUCCUGCAACUCUUGCCGGUGGCUGGUCCGGCGAAGUCUUCAAUCGACGUCGAAAUGGAGAGGAGUUUCCGGUCUCGCUCUCAACACGUGUCGUGCGCAACGAAAUGGAUCAACCGAUUGCCUUGAUCGGUGUGGCGGUGGACAUUACCGAGCGUAAGAAAGCGCAAAGCCAACUUGUCGAGGCGCUGAACGCCGCGGAGGCCGCCGCCAGGGCAAAGUCCAAGUUCCUUGCGGCGAUGAGUCACGAGAUCCGAACGCCGAUGAACGGCGUGAUCGGCAUGACGGAACUGCUUCUGAAUACACCACUGACGCCGGAACAACGUGAGUUCGUGCAGACCAUUCAUGUUUGCGGCGAAAACCUGUUGACGAUCAUCAAUGACAUUCUCGACUUCUCGAAGAUCGAAUCCGGGAAAAUCGAGCUGGAAAACCGGGCGUUCGACGUACGAACGGCGAUCGAUGACGUCUUCAGGAUCUUUGCCCAGCAGGCACUGGAAAAGAAGCUGGCGCUGGUUCAGUUGAUCGAUCCUAAUGUGCCGGCCGUAGUCGUUGGAGACGUCACACGAUUCAAACAGAUCCUGAUCAAUCUCGUUGGGAACGGCAUCAAGUUCACGGACAAAGGCCAGGUCAGUGUCCACCUCGCUGCUAAAGCUCAGGGAGAUGACGUCGUGAAACUUGUUUGUGUCGUCAAAGAUACGGGAAUGGGAAUUCCACCGGAUAAGCUUCACCGUCUGUUCAAAGCGUUCUCACAGGUGGACGCAUCCACCAGUCGACGCUUCGGCGGGACGGGGCUUGGACUCGCCAUAUGUAUGCACUUCGUCAAAAUGAUGGGCGGACGAAUCACAGUGGACAGCGAACCCGGCAUGGGUUCGACGUUCAGUUUCUCGAUAAAGGCGCGUCGCUCCUCGGAAGGCGCUAUCCCGACCACAUCCGCGUCUCGCGAACCGGAAAAGUCCGUCGUAUCCAGGUUGGAUCCGGGGCUUUCGGAAAGCCUGCCGCUACGGAUCCUCGUGGUUGAGGACAAUCCCGUCAAUCAAAAAACUCCUGCUUCUGAUUCUCGGCAAGAUGGGCUAUGUGGCUGAUGUCGCGGAGAACGGCGUUCAGGCUCUCGCGGCUGCGAAACGCGCGCCAUACGAUGUCAUCUUCAUGGAUCUUCACAUGCCGGAAAUGGACGGACUGGAGGCCACUCGACGUAUACGCGAUGCUCGAAGAGACGGCCAUCAGCCACGGAUUGUUGCGAUGACCGCAGACGCGUUGGUCGGAGACCGAGAGCGAUGUCUUGCCGCCGGAAUGGAUGACUAUGUCGGUAAGCCGAUUCGCGCCAAUCAGGUUCAGGAAGUGCUUCAACGCUGGGGCAACGGAUCAGUCCUCCAUCCAGGCGCCCAGCGGACGGAGUGAAUCGAUGUGAUCGCAGACGAUCUUCAGGGAUCCGAGAAUCGGGACCGCGAGAAUCAAUCCCAUGGCGCCCCAAAGCCAGCCCCACAGCAACAGCGCGAUCGUCACGGCCAGCGGAUUCAACUUCAAUCGUUUGCCGAUGACUUUUGGAAACAGCACGUUGACGGCAAACACAUGGAGUCCAACCACGAGAAGCGCGAUCAGCACAAAUUCUCUCGAUUCGAGUAGACCGAUGCCGGCUGCCACCGGAGGCAACAUCGCCAGGACCACGCCAAGGUAAGGGAUCAAGCUCAGGAAUCCGCUGAUCAGUCCCAGAAAGUAAAAGUACGGCAAUUUCAACAGACCGAACGCGACGAUGCUGACGACCGACAAGAACAAGCCACACA
rnacentral:misc_RNA from 1 species